UCUUCGAGAUUAUGAAACGGUAUGUUUACAGUAAGUGGGAAGGAUCAAAAAGUUUUAAGUUUUAUGGAAAUUUCUUGGGCGAAUUCAUUAACUGGAAUGUCAACUGAUUCCGAAUUGACCAAACCUUCCAAUGAAAGAAAUCGAAGGAAGCGUGUUAUUUGGGUGUCUUCUUGCUGUUCGUUUUAGCUCCGUCUUCGGAUCAGUAACAUGAUUUUCAGUCUUGAUGUAAGGAAAUAACCUCGUUGAGGAUCUCACUAGAAAGAAAACAGGAAGAAUUUUUACAAAGCAGAAGAGGAUAAUAAUACAUUUUUCGGGUAACAUUUGGUGAUGUAUCGAAUAUCCUUAUUGUCUGUGGAUUGUGGUAACAAGUAUUGUAGUAUUUUACUUGUCUUUCUUGACUGAAAUAUAUUAAAUUUGUAAGUAGAUUUCUAGUUUCUUCCUAAUAUGUUUAUUUUAAAGCAACUUUCAAAAAACGGUUGAGUUUUUUAUAACUUUUAUUUCUGCAAUAAAAGCUGUAAAAUGUGAAAACCGAAAGGUAAGUCGAUUCGGAGAAAGAGCCUACACGGCUAAUAUCUCCAUAUAAACCGUGAGGAAAAGAAGAAGAACCGAGACGUAGUUUCUUAUUCGUAAAAUACAUUUAUACCUGAUUUUCUUGUUUUAAAAAUCGUAGGUUUAAACCCAGCUGUAAUUCUAUUGCGAGAAAUAUCCAAGGAAGAAUUUUUAAAAUUAUUAGUUUAAUGUUGAAAUAAUUAAAUUUGACUUAGAAAAUAAUAUAUGACGUAAUUUUCGUAUUCGAUAUCAUUCGUGUCUUUUUGUUACAGAUUCAUUACUCACCAUUCAAGAGCAUUUAUGUGUACUAAAUAAAGAAUUCUUUCCGGGAAAACAAGAGUUGAACGAUACGUUUAACUUCUGUUGUUAACGGAACACUAAAAUUGAAGCUAGUGUUAUGAAAUAAUACAAGAAUAUAUCAACAAAAAAAAACGUCUUUCGUGCAAGUGAAGAAAAAGACAAAAAUCGACGAUGAUUUAAAAUUUUAUAUAUAAUGGUUUUCUUUUUCGCAAAUACACUCCGUUUAUAUUGUUUUCAGAAGAAAAAUGUAUAAAUGACUUUGUAAUAUUGUUAAUGCGCGUUGAUAAUACGUGUGAAUUGUUAGUGUUUUUGAUAUCGUGGUAUCCUUCGUGUAGGUUUAUCCUUUAAAUAUUACUUAAAGAAAUUGGAAAAAGGAAAAAUUCUGUCUCUAUCUGCAUCCAAAGCUUUAACAAUACAUUCAAAAUAGUCUUUUUAAAUUUAUCUAUUUACGGUUUGAUGAUAAUUUGUACAGUUUUAAUCUGUCUAGAAAUUGGUUUUAAUGUUUUAAUUUUAUAUCACAGGCUUAAACAUUCAGAAGUCAAGGAAUGGAAAGUACGAAUGUGAUAGUUGCGAGAAAAAGUUCGUUUCGGAAAGGGGGUUAAAAUUUCAUCGAAGAAUUCAUACUGGAGAAGGGCUCUUGUCUUGCCAA